GGGUCAUUGGCGCAGACAGGUAGCGCAACGGGCUUUUAACCCGUUGGUCGUGGGUUCAAAUCCCGCAUGACCCG
rnacentral:tRNA from 1 species